AGUCCGGGACGACCCGGCCAGACCGCUGCUAUUCGGGGACGACCCCA
rnacentral:ncRNA from 1 species